rnacentral:lncRNA from 1 species
GUGACCACCAACACUAGGAAACAGUCUGUCUUUUCGUGAGGGCAUUUCCACCUGUCCUGCUCUGAAAGUAUCAGUGCUAUCAGUGGGGCAGAACUCAGACAAGCAUCUUAAUGCAAACAUCGCAGUAACUGAAAUGUGAAGCUGGAAAUCCAGAGAAUUCUCCAAAAGCUUUAAGUAGCUUUUUAGGCUUCAUUCAUGUUGGGCCUAAUGGAUCCUCAAAGGGGAGAAUGGUUUAUCAAAGACAAGCAUUUUAAGUACCUCGUGUUUAUGUGGGUGUGCACAAGUUAUGUAAGAUUUUGGAGAGAUGGAUGGUGGCAGAGCUGUUGGACAUCCUGUACUGCUGUAACAAUUGCCUUACAGCCUGUUCUGUCCAGGCAGUCUCUUCCCUAGGAAAGUUUAGAAGCAGCAUACUGCCUGGUGAAGAAAUUGAAGCUCACAGAGUUGGCAUAAACAUGUUGCAAAAUAUCUGUACUUUCUCCCCCAAGGAAGGAGCAAUGCUUGCUUUCCCUCAGGACAGCUUGGUGAGUAGGAUCCAGUCAUCUGCACCCACAAUUCUUCUUAUAUGGUUGUUUUGCACCUUUGCUAAGCAGAGUUCUGUGGUUUGUGACUGGUCUCCUCCGUGCUCAUCCUGAAAGUAAUUUUUCAUUAAAAAUUAAAAGUGCAGUUUUUGGCACUGGCAUAAGUCCAGGUCCUCAGUUGUACUUGCAUUGAAUGACUGUGUAUCUUGAGCUUUGUUUUGAUUUUCCAAUACAAAUGAAUCUCAGCUUCUCUCUAGACACCUGUUUUCACCUGUUUGCACCAAAGUUGUGUUGCAGGGAUUGCUUAUUCAGACACGAUGUGAAACAACUGAGCAAAGCAGGGUCUGCCUAGGGAAAUUUGAUUAACCUUAAAGAAAUUUCAGAAGAUGCUGGGUAAUCUCCAAAUUUUGGAUGUGAGCAGCAUGCUCUGGUAUCAGGUUUCAGCCCAGAAAUGUAGUGCUGCAUCAGUGAAGGGACUGAAGCCUUAACUUUGUAUUGAGCCCACUGCUUUUCUUUGAGCACUGUAACAUUUUUCUGCUGUCCUUGCCCUCUUGUAGCCACCUGUUGCCUCUGGUCAUGCAGAUGUAGAUAAAGCUCUCUGUACAGGGUCAUAUCUUUGUAAAGUUUUUUAUUAUGGCAAGGAAAACACGGUCUUGAUUCCUGUCUGGAAUAAUAAUAUAAAUCAAUGGCAACAACUGUACAAUUCCCUUACAGCUCUAGAGGUAGAAUCAUGGCAAUUAAAAUAAUGUGCAAUUAAGGAGAGCUUGAAAAAGCUUUUAAAUCCAGGAAGCAAGUCAAGAUGCUUUGCUGAUGAUUUGCUAGUUUGUAGAAAUUGCAAGUGGUUGCAAAUUGGCUUGCUUUUACCAUGAAGUAAAGCUAUUCUCCAGUGUGUGUUUAGCUGGAUUUAUGAAAAACAUCUCAGCAUGGCUGGAAAUGACCAACAGUAGUUGCUGCCUUUACUUGCAUCCACCAGACCACAUAGAUUUACAGCAAACUAAGCAACUGUUUGCACAUUUCUUCAGGCCUUCUAAACCACCCUGUAACAACCAAUUUUUCUUUUUCCUAUUGUCGUUGUUAUAAUCAGGCCUUGAUAAGAAUUGCUGCCAGAGACACC